CGAUCAAGCCUCCAGUCUGGACUCACCGAGGUGAACCUGCGGAAGGAUCAUUG
rnacentral:rRNA from 1 species